AGGAAGGGGAGAGCGGAGGCCCGAGGGCUCGGCUUCCGAGGUGUGGAGAGCUGAAUAAGGAGGAAGUCAUAGCAAUAACAGGACAACAAAGAGAAGCUGAUCAUGGAUUAUCUGACUAUUGAAGUUGAAGGAAAAGCUGUGACUACUGAGGAUGCUUCUCUGCCCCAAAAACAGAGCACAGAAGAAGUGGAGCCUACCGUAGAGCCCCUUCCUGUUGAG